GACGAACGCUGGCGGCGUGCUUAACACAUGCAAGUCGAACGGAAAGGCUCCAGCUUGCUGGAGUACUCGAGUGGCGAACGGGUGAGUAACACGUGGGUGAUCUGCCCUGCACUUCGGGAUAAGCCUGGGAAACUGGGUCUAAUACCGGAUAGGAUCGCACCUUGGUGUGUGUGGUGGAAAGGUUUUUCUGGUGUGGGAUGAGCUCGCGGCCUAUCGGUUUGUUGGGGGGGUAAUGUCAUACCACGACGGCGACGGGAAGCCGGCCUGUGAGGCUGGACGGGCCCCUUGGGUCUGAGCUGCGGCCCCGGCGCCUACUAGUGGCCGAAGGGGGGAAGACUGCUCCAUGGGGGCCGCCCUGAUGCAGCGACGCCGCGUGGGGGAUGGAGGCCUUCGGGUUGUAGACUCCUUUCGCUAGGGACGAAGCUUUUUGUGACGGUACCUGGAGAAGAAGCACCGGCUAACUACGUG
rnacentral:rRNA from 1 species